AACUAAAGUGUACCCGGCUCAUAG
rnacentral:miRNA from 1 species